rnacentral:lncRNA from 1 species
AUGUUAGCGUAUGUGUAUAGAGGGCAGCUGUAUUUGUGCAGUGUGCUUGAGACCAUUACAGCUGCAAUUAAGUGUAUGCAUGUGUUCGUGUCACAGCUCCAAGGACAAUCAUCAGCUCAGGGGUUAAAAAAAUCAAAUCAUAGUUCAAGUGACGAGCAGCCGUUGUGGUCGUUAUCAGUGCAUGUGAUCAUGUCCAGGGCUUGUGUCCUAAUUGCGGUAAGCCACGAACUCCACUCAGCCCAGGAGGAAACCGCCACAAUGCUUUAUUGUUCUGCUACAUUACACUGCAAACUCUUGACUGACGCCAAAAGGAUGGAGGGAAUGUGUGUUUUCAUUAAAAUUCCACCUGCAUCCAUUUUGCACAGUACAAACAAAGUAUUCUUGUCCCCUGUUUGUAUGUACUGUAUCUAUACUGUACCUGUAUGAGCUGUAUAUGUAUUUGAGCUAAACCUUCUGCCUGAAAUUAAUUUCCUCAAAAAGUCUCUGUUUUAUCCACCUAUUUUUUCCUCAUUCACACUCCAUAUAGUCUCUGUACUCCGCUUGGACCAGCACACAAUCUAUUUAUCAGUAUAUUUACAUGAACUUUAAAAGUCUGAUGUAAAUGUUUGUAUGUACUGUAUCUAUACUGUACCUGUAUGAGCUGUAUAUGUAUUUGAGCUAAACCUUCUGCCUGAAAUUAAUUUCCUCAAAAAGUCUCUGUUUUAUCCACCUAUUUUUUCCUCAUUCACACUCCAUAUAGUCUCUGUACUCCGCUUGGACCAGCACACAAUCUAUUUAUCAGUAUAUUUACAUGAACUUUAAAAGUCUGAUGUAAAUUCACAUUAAUGUGAAUACAAUUGGCCUCAGCAUUGAGAGUUUGCUUCAAAAAAUGUGUAUUUAAUGUUUCAAAUAUUCAAUUACACUUUGUGAAAAUUGUAGAACAACCAUGCAAAACAUACUGUAACUCAUUUAGAUCUGUUCAUGUUAACAUACUUUAUCUAUACCUUCAAAGGUCUAUCCUUGAACAUGAAUUAAAGGUGACGUCAGCAUUUUUUUUCUGGUAUAGCAAAAAAUAUUCAUAUCACAUACCUAAAAGUACCAUAUUGGCAUCUAAAGAUACUUAAAGAGCCACGGUACAAAAGGAAUAGAAAAGUGGAAAAAUUUUCUUUACACAAAGAAUAAAUUGUUCUCUUAAGAACUGUUCUUUGGGGAACCAGAACUUUUUUCUCUGGCAUCACUG